UCAUUCCGAACAGUCGCUUCAUUAGGCUCAACCUUUCCUUGGACAUCAACUUUAGUUUGUCUAGAGGGAAACAGCGCAGAUCAUCAACUAAGAUCUCCGAGUGUGUUAAGUGGGAAAGGAUGUGGAGCUGAACAGACAGAAGGGUAUGGGCGCUGAAGCAGCCGCCAACGAAAGGUGCGUGAUCGCUCACUGGUCGAGUGGCUUGGGCCAAAUUAUGUAACGGGGCUAAACACACCACCGAAGCUAGGAGUCCAUUUAUGGUAGGGGAGCGUUGUAUGCGGGUUGAAGGCUGAUCGUGAGGGCAGCUGGAUACAUACAAGUC
rnacentral:ncRNA from 1 species